AUUGAACGCUGGCGGCAUGCCUUACACAUGCAAGUCGAACGGUAACAGGUCUUCGGAUGCUGACGAGUGGCGAACGGGUGAGUAAUACAUCGGAACGUGCCUAGUAGUGGGGGAUAACUACUCGAAAGAGUGGCUAAUACCGCAUGAGAUCUACGGAUGAAAGCAGGGGAUCGCAAGACCUUGUGCUACUAGAGCGGCCGAUGGCAGAUUAGGUAGUUGGUGGGAUAAAAGCUUACCAAGCCGACGAUCUGUAGCUGGUCUGAGAGGACGAUCAGCCACACUGGGGAUGAGACACGGCCCAGACGCCUACGGGAGGCAGCAGUGGGGAAUUUUGGACAAUGGGCGCAAGCCUGAUCCAGCAAUGCCGCGUGCAGGAUGAAGGCCUUCGGGUUGUAAACUGCUUUUGUACGGAACGAAAAGCCCCGGGUUAAUACCCUGGGGUCAUGACAGUACCGUAAGAAUAAGCACCGGCUAACUACGUGCCAGCCGCCGCCGUAA
rnacentral:rRNA from 1 species